UAACAAUGAUUCCCCUAGUAACGGCGAGUGAAGAGGGAAGAGCUCAAAGUUGGAACCUGUUUGCCUUUGGCAAACCGGAUUGUAAACUAAAGAGUUGUUGUCCAGGCAAGCUAGAUCUGCAAGUCCCUUGGAAUAGGGCACCUUGGAGGGUGAGAGUCCCGUCCUGGAUCUAAGCAUUUGUCUUUUGCGUCAACUUCUCGACGAGUCAGGUUGUUUGGGAAUGCAGCCUAAAGUGGGUGGUAAAUCCCAUCUAAAGCUAAAUAUUGGCGAGAGACCGAUAGCGAACAAGUACCCGUGAGGGAAAGAUGAAAAGGAACUUUGAAAAGAGAGUUAAACAGUAUGUGAAAUUGCUAAGAGGGAAGCGUUUGGAGUCAGACUUGGCGUUGUCCUGAUCAGCCUGUUCUUUCGAGAGCGGGUUUACUCUGGACUUGUGCCAGCCAACAGCAGUUUUCCUAGAUGGAAAAAACUCUGGGGAAUGUAGUUCUUUGGAAUGAUUAUAGACCUAGAGAAAAUACAUUUGGGAAGACUGAGGAAUGCAAUGGAUGCUUUCAGGCUUUGACUUUGGGAUCUCUGUUGGAGGGUGCGGUUAGUUUUUCAGUUCGCUGAUGCUAGCUGGACCUGAAGGCAAGGGUUCCAAGAUCUUUAAUCCAUUCAGGUUGUUGGCUUAAUGACUCUAAAUGA
rnacentral:rRNA from 1 species